CGGACGGGUGGGUAAUGUCUGGAAACGUGCCCGAUGGAGGGGGAUAACUACUGGAAACGGUAGCUAUACCGCAUAACGUCGCAAGACCAAAGAGGGGGACCUUCGGGCCUCUUGCCAUCGGAUGUGCCCAGAUGGGAUUAGCUAGUAGGUGGGGUAACGGCUCACCUAGGCGACGAUCCCUAGCUGGUCUGAGAGGAUGACCAGCCACACUGGAACUGAGACACGGUCCAG
rnacentral:rRNA from 1 species